UGGGGAAUAUUGCACAAUGGGCGAAAGCCUGAUGCAGCAACGCCGCGUGAGUGAUGAAGGCCUUCGGAUUGUAAAGCUCUGUCUUUUGGGACGAUAAUGACGGUACCAAAGGAGGAAGCCACGGCUAACUACGUGCCAGCAGCCGCGGUAAUACGUAGGUGGCGAGCGUUGUCCGGAUUUACUGGGCGUAAAGGGUGCGUAGGCGGAUGUUUAAGUGAGAUGUGAAAUACCCGGGCUUAACUUGGGUGCUGCAUUUCAAACUGGAUAUCUAGAGUGCAGGAGAGGAGAAUGGAAUUCCUAGUGUAGCGGUGAAAUGCGUAGAGAUUAGGAAGAACACCAGUGGCGAAGGCGAUUCUCUGGACUGUAACUGACGCUGAGGCACGAAAGCGUGGGUAGCAAACAGGAUUAGAUACCCUGGUAGUCCACGCCGUAAACGAUGAGUACUAGGUGUAGGAGGUAUCGACCCCUUCUGUGCCGCAGUAAACACAUUAAGUACUCCGCCUGGGAAGUACCGAUCGCAAGAUUAAAAC
rnacentral:rRNA from 1 species